rnacentral:rRNA from 1 species
GACGAACGCUGGCGGCGUGCUUAACACAUGCAAGUCGAGCGGUAAGGCCCUUUCGGGGGUACACGAGCGGCGAACGGGUGAGUAACACGUGGGUGACCUGCCCUCAGCUCUGGGAUAAGCCUGGGAAACUGGGUCUAAUACUGGAUAUGACUCCACGGUGCAUGUCGUGGGGUGGAAAGCCUUGUGCGGCUGAGGAUGGGCCCGCGGCCUAUCAGCUUGUUGGUGGGGUGAGGCCUACCAAGGCGACGACGGGUAGCCGGCCUGAGAGGGCGACCGGCCACACUGGGACUGAGACACGGCCCAGACUCCUACGGGAGGCAGCAGUGGGAAUCUUGCGCAAUGGGCGAAAGCCUGACGCAGCGACGCCGCGU